rnacentral:snoRNA from 1 species
UGCGUGAUGACUACAACCUAGACAAGAGCACAGUUUGAACUGACACUCGCGGAUGUACAUGUCUUUGAGCAAUCUCGUCUGAAACG